rnacentral:tRNA from 1 species
AUUAAGGUGGCAGAGCCGGGUUAAUGCAAGAGACCUAAGAUCCCUCACCCAGAUGUUCAAAUCAUCUCCUUAAUA